AUCGGUGUACGUUAAUUGGACGUAGCACGACUCAAAAUCGUGUUCCUUCGGGAGUGUCGGUUCGACCCCGACCACCGGUA
rnacentral:tRNA from 1 species